rfam:Helianthus annuus linkage group 16, whole genome shotgun sequence.
UUUUGGGCUUAAUUGGUUGUGGAGCACAUGAAAACUCCAAAGUUAAGUGUGCUCAGGUGGGAGUAGUACUAGGAUGGGUGACCUCCUGGGAAGUCUCCACCGGGGUGACAA